ACCCCUGUGACAAGCACUGCAGCCGAACCAGAGAACCAAUCUGUGUCUCUAUACACAAGAAGAAAUAGACACCAAACCCCUCUCUUUCAGUGAAGGAGGACUAAGCAGAACCACCACAAGAAUAUGAGGAAGAAGCAGAACAACUUGAUCCCUAUUCCUCAGUGAGCUGCAGGAUAUGCAAAAUAUUUUAGCUGUCAAUCAGAAUGCCUGUUGGAAGUGCUGCUGCAGUGGAUUGUGGUGGAAGGGUCAAAAAAUGCUUGUCAGCUGCUGCUGGAAGGGAAUGGGCAACAACAGAAAGAAAAGGAGGCAGGGAAAUCUAGACAUUUCUGUGAAAUCUAUGGAAGAGUCAGGAAUGGAAGCCAAGCAGUGGAAGAUGAUGUGACCCAUAACACGCUGAGACCCUGUGAUAGACAAUAUACGAACCCACACUGCUCCCUCUUGCCUAUAAACCAGUGCCUGCUAAGUGAAUCCCCUCUUGCCUGCCUUCCCUGAGUGCCUGUAGAGCUGUGUUCAAACUGCUGGAAGGAGCUGCGCUGCAAAAGGAACAGGGAAGGAUGAAACCAGUCAGUAGCAUUUUCAGGUAGCUGUUCAGUGAGGAUGGGAGGAAGAGUGGAUCUGCAAGGAUGUGAAUAGAAAUGACAGCAGAAACCUAUGGGACCAGUCUGCAGUUCAUGUUUGGAUACUCUUCUGAGUAAUGACUCUCUGUGAAGGAGAAAAGGAAGACAGGGCACAACAGAGCUGAUAGAUCCCUAAAUUGACUAGUUGGUAUGACAGCUGCUCAUGGUGCCUGGCAGAUUUGUAUGUACCAGUAAUGGACUAGUCAUGGAGCAUAUACUUUUUUGAAUAUUACAAUUUUGAAUACCUCUGUGA